GGGACGAACGCUGGCGGCGUGCUUAACACAUGCAAGUCGAGCGGUAAGGCCUUUCGGGGUACACGAGCGGCGAACGGGUGAGUAACACGUGGGUGAUCUGCCCUGCACUCUGGGAUAAGCCUGGGAAACUGGGUCUAAUACCGGAUAUGACCUGCUCUCGCAUGGGGGUGGGUGGAAAGAUUUAUCGGUGCAGGAUGGGCCCGCGGCCUAUCAGCUUGUUGGUGGGGUAAUGGCCUACCAAGGCGACG
rnacentral:rRNA from 1 species